rnacentral:lncRNA from 1 species
GCAGAAUAGGAGAGCAGUUGUGUAAAUCAUUAAUAAAUCUGUUUACUAUUUUUAUUUGCAUUGGAUAUCAGAUUAAAUAUUGCAUUAAGUGAGUUAAAUAUUGCAUUGAGUGAGUUAAAUAUUAAUAUUGCAUUAAAUAUAUAUUGCAUUUUAAAAAUUAAGUACUCAGUGCUCCUCCUCAGAGCUGGAAAGCUUUAGUGCCAUCAGCCCAGCAUGUGCUAACUGUGCAUAGUUAUUUUCCAUGUCAUUGAUGAUUUAUUAGUGCCCACAGGAGUAAGGGAAAAGGACUGCAAGCCUGAAACUCCAGUCCUCCUGCCCAGCGCCACGAGCAGCCCACAGGACCCUGUAAGUAGAAGCGAGUGGUUGAGUAGAGUGGGUUUGGAGGUGACUUUUGCAUCUUUUCAGUCUCCUUGGUCUGAGUCAUCAAGCACGGGGAAUUCUUCCCCGUGAAACCUGAAGCAGAUCUUGCUGGGAGAAGUAACCGGUUUUGGGGGGAACAAAAUUUCCCAAGCAUCUGCACCACCUCUAUCAGGAAACAGCUAGGGCCAUGUCCUGGGCCUCUAGUUCAGGGCAGGAAGGCUGCAC